GGUUCCUUAGCUCAGUUGGUUAGAGCGUGGUGCUAAUAACGCCAAGGUCGAGGGUUCGACCCCCUUAGGGACCA